GUACCCGUAGCUCAAUUGGAUAGAGCAUUGGUUUGCGGAACCAAAGGUUGGAGGUUCGAUCCCUCUCGGGUACA
rnacentral:tRNA from 1 species